rnacentral:rRNA from 1 species
UACAGAGGGUGCGAGCGUUAAUCGGAAUUACUGGGCGUAAAGCGUGCGUAGACGGUUACGUAAGUCGGGUGUGAAAGCCCCGGGCUCAACCUGGGAAUUGCAUUCGAGACUGCGUAGCUAGGGUGCGGAAGAGGGAAGCGGAAUUUCCGGUGUAGCGGUGAAAUGCGUAGAUAUCGGAAGGAACAUCAGUGGCGAAAGCGGCUUCCUGGUCCAGCACCGACGUCAGGCACGAAAGCGUGGGGAGCAAACAGG